CCAAGAAGUCUAUCUUGCGCGCAAGCCAAUGGGUAAAUGGUGCGGUACGCCGCCCAUGACUGGAAACCCACAGGCACAGACAAAUCGAGUGUUGCGGGAUUACGGGUACGGCCGAUGGCGCAAGCCUUCGUCGGACCCCUCCAUCCCAGGGUGUCCCGUUCGGGUGCUUGCACCCAGCGGACAUCCCCGGAGUGCGUAGGAUGUGACCCGAAAGAUGGUGAACUAUGCCUGAUCAGGUUGAAGUCAGGGGAAACCCUGAUGGAGGACCGAAGCAAUUCUGACGUGCAAAUCGAUUGUCAGAGUUGGGCAUAGGGGCGAAAGACCAAUCGA
rnacentral:rRNA from 1 species